ensembl:lncRNA PRANCR progenitor renewal associated non-coding RNA
GCUCCGGCUUCCCUCCAGGCGGCAGCGGAAGGUGGGAGCGACGACUGCAAAACGGCAGCGAUGGGCUCCCGCAACCUCCGGAGCUUGUGCGCGUACUUCAGGGACCGGCACCACGUCACCGUCACCUCCUGAGUAGUGAGUUCCCCUCUGAUGAAACCACUGGUCAAAAGCAAGAAAUAGGAAGAAACACAAGCAUACUAUAAAAUAAAAGUCUGAAAAUUCAAAAGAGAAGCAAUUUAAAGGACUUCCAUUUACUUCUUUCCCCUCUAAUCUGCACAAAAGGUUAAAUGUAGCAGUGCAGCAGUUCUGGCCAUCAAAAUAUGAUUAUUGUACUUUAAAAGCAGCCAUGAGAACUCUGCUCUUUGAUAGACUUCAACUUGCAACAACUAAGUAGUUUUUAUGGAACAGGUGGUGUUUGGUUAUGUGGAUAGGUUUUUUGGAAUACUACUCAGCCAUAAAACGGAACAAAAUAAUGGAAUUCCCAGCAACCUGGAUGGAGUCGGAGACCAUUAUUCUAAGUGAAGUAACUCAGUGAGAACAAAUAUCGUAUGUUCUCACUUAUAAGUGGGAGCUCUUAAAAGUGGGAGCUAAGCUAUGAGGACACAAAGGAACUUAGUUAUUACCAGGAACAGAUGACCAGUUGCAAGAACUGUCACUAUUUUAACAUUCUCCAUCAGCUGUGGCCAUGUUGGAUUUCUGGCACCUGAGCAUUCACAUCCAUCUGUUUAUAGGGCAUUAUGCCCACUCAUGAGGUUUAUUCCAGUUUCAAAAAGUCAUGUGUAAACCAAGAUUGGAAAUAUAUAUUCCUUGAGAAAUAGAGACACAGACACACAAGGGAGAGUGCCAUAUGAAAAUGGAGGCAGAAUGGAGUGAUGCAUCUACAAGCCAAGGAACACCAAAAAUUGCCAGCAACUACUAGAAGCUAGAAGAGGCAAGAAAGGACUUUCUAGAGCCUUUGGAAAGCAUGAUUCUGCCACAUCUUGAUUUUGGACUUCCAGCCUCUAGAACUGUGAGAGAGUAAGUUUCCAUUGUUUUAAACCACCCAAUUUGUAUUAAUUUGUUAUAGAAGCCCUGGGAAACAAAUAAACUACUUUAGAUCAGUUAGGAAGGCUUCUUGAACUAUAUGACAUUUAAACAGAGACAUAAAUGAUGAGACUGUCCCAGCCAAGUUAAAAAUAUCACUGGGAAUCAAACUCACUGGUGUUAUUCCAGCUCAGUGGUAAAUGUUCUACUGGUAUUUUAAAUAAUUCUAAAAUAAAGUCAUUAUUUUUCUUUGCAC